rnacentral:rRNA from 1 species
GACGAACGCUGGCGGCGUGCUUAACACAUGCAAGUCGAACGGAAAGGCCCUGCUUUUGUGGGGUGCUCGAGUGGCGAACGGGUGCGUAACACGUGAGUAACCUGCCCUUGUCUUUGGGAUAACUUCAGGAAACUGGGCCUACUACCGGAUCGGAGCUCCCGCUGCAUGGUGGGGGUUGGAAAGUUUCGGCGGGUGUGGAUGGACGAGCGGUUUAUGAGCUUGUUGGUGGGGGAGUGGCUUACCAAGGCUUUGGCGGGUAGCCGGCCUGGGAGGGUGACCGGCGUCAAGAGGACUACGAGAGGCACCAGAGGCCAAUGGGAGGCAACGGGGGGAAACCUGGUCCAAUGGGCGCGAGUCGGUUGAGGAAGCCCUGGGGGCGGGAAGACGGCCUUCGGGGUAAGAACCGCUUUCGCCUGUGACCAAGCUGGUGUGACGGUAAUGGAAAAAGAAGCACCGGCUAACUACGUG